GGAAAUGUGAACCUGGAAGAAAUGCUAAAUGACUUCUGGGCACGCCUUCUGGAACGGAUGUUCCGCCUGGUGAACUCCCAGUACCACUUUACAGAUGAGUAUCUGGAAUGUGUGAGCAAGUAUACCGAGCAGCUGAAGCCCUUUGGAGACGUCCCUCGAAAACUGAAGCUGCAGGUGACUCGUGCAUUUGUAGCAGCCCGUACUUUUGCACAAGGCUUAGCCGUUGCAAGAGAUGUCGUGAGCAAAGUCUCUGUGGUAAAUCCCACAGCCCAGUGUACCCAUGCCCUGUUGAAGAUGAUCUACUGCUCCCACUGCCAGGGUCUUGUGACUGUGAAGCCAUGUUACAACUACUGCCCAAACAUCAUGAGAGGCUGUUUGGCCAACCAAGGGGAUCUCGAUUUUGAGUGGAACAAUUUCAUAGAUGCUAUGCUGAUGGUAGCAGAGAGGCUAGAGGGUCCUUUCAACAUUGAAUCGGUCAUGGAUCCCAUCGAUGUGAAGAUUUCUGAUGCUAUUAUGAACAUGCAGGAUAAUAGUGUGCAAGUGUCUCAGAAGGUUUUCCAGGGAUGUGGACCCCCUAAGCCUCUCCCAGCUGGACGGAUUUCUCGUUCCAUCUCUGAAGGUGCCUUCAGUGCUCGCUUCAGACCGUAUCAUCCCGAGGAACGCCCAACCACAGCAGCUGGCACUAGUUUGGACCGACUGGUUACUGAUGUCAAGGAGAAACUGAAACAGGCCAAGAAAUUCUGGUCCUCUCUUCCGAGCAAUGUUUGCAAUGAUGAGAGGAUGGCUGCAGGAAAUGGCAAUGAGGAUGACUGCUGGAAUGGAAAAGGCAAAAGCAGGUUAGUCUCU